ACGGGAGGCAGCAGUGGGGAAUAUUACACAAUGGGGGAAACCCUGAUGCAGCAACGCCGCGUGAGUGAAGAAGUAUUUCGGUAUGUAAAGCUCUAUCAGCAGGGAAGAUAAUGACGGUACCUGACUAAGAAGCACCGGCUAAAUACGUGCCAGCAGCCGCGGUAAUACGUAUGGUGCAAGCGUUAUCCGGAUUUACUGGGUGUAAAGGGUGCGUAGGUGGCAUGGUAAGUCAGAUGUGAAAUACCGGGGCUCAACCCCGGGGCUGCAUUUGAAACUGUCAAGCUAGAGUGCAGGAGAGGAAAGCGGAAUUCCUAGUGUAGCGGUGAAAUGCGUAGAUAUUAGGAGGAACACCAGUGGCGAAGGCGGCUUUCUGGACUGUAACUGACACUGAGGCACGAAAGCGUGGGGAGCAAACAGGAUUAGAUACCCUGGUA
rnacentral:rRNA from 1 species